rnacentral:sRNA from 1 species
GGGGCAGGCGACGGUGGGGAAGAUGGCGUACCAGAGCUUGCGGCUGGAGUACCUGCAGAUCCCACCGCAGUUGGAAUUGAUCACACCUUUUCAGUUGUACUUCAAUCCUGAAUUAAUCUUUAAACACUUUCAAAUAUGGAGAUUAAUCACCAACUUCUUAUUUUUUGGGCCAGUCGGAUUCAAUUUUUUAUUUAACAUGAUUUUUCUAUAUCGUUACUGUCGAAUGCUAGAAGAAGGCUCUUUCCGAGGUCGGACAGCAGACUUUGUAUUUAUGUUCCUUUUUGGUGGAUUCUUAAUGACUGUAUCCUUCAACAAACAGAACACGGGAAAAUGUUGAAGAACACCCUGGCUCUUCCUAAAGCUUGUCAUCUGUCUCCCACAGUUCUCUAGAUCUUAGCUUCAGGGCACUAUCAUUUAUUUUACAGCACAUUUUCUGUGACAAGUUUCCAAGCCUAGCAGUCGGACAGGAUGAGCAAGUCAAAGGAACUUUUAACCCAGGUGGGUUACUGUUAAGCAACUCAGUUAUAUCAUUACUGCUUGGCGUACUUCACUUUUAAACUAAGUUGGUAAGACAUUUACUUGGUGGCUAUCAAAACCAAUAAAUUAUUUUUUCAGAAAAAGAAUUUUCACCUAUACAAUAGACUUAGAUAUGGUACGGUCUGACAAGAUGGUUUUGUUCCAGCUAGCUUUAUUCAUCUCUGUAAAGGUGCUAAUCGUGAGCAAGCUUUAAUAUAAUUAUUGACCGAAGAAUUAACACAUUUUCCAAAGAGGCAAGAACUUCACGAAAGCAGAGUAUUUGUUUGAAGUAGCUGUAAAUCUCGAUAAUUUAGCCUAAGCAGAUUUUUGCCUGAUUGCUCUGGGUAAUUAUUUUCUGGGUGUUUUUCCUUCUAUUCUAAAGAUGUAACAACUUGACUUUUCCAAUUCAAACUUUUGUUAGAACACAAUCUUUAGUUCUCCUGCUCAGUCUUCCCUAUUAAACUUUUAAUGUUGAUAUUUUCCUUAAUGCCAUCUGCUAGCUUUUCGGUCUGUUUGUGAGCUUAGUUUUCUUGGGCCAGGCCUUUACAAUAAUGCUCGUCUAUGUGUGGAGCC